rnacentral:misc_RNA from 1 species
GGAAGGAUCAUUAUUGAUUACAAACCGUUACCCUCUGUGCUGGCCCUUAAUUAAAAGGGCAAGUGCACGUUGGUGACUUUGUUAUCCACACACCCUUUUGUGAACCUUUGGCCUCUUGCUAGCCUCGGUUGGCAGAGGAUUUACACACACAAACUUCAUGUAAUGAUAAAACUUUUUUGUGCAUAAGCACGAAAUGUACAACUUUCAACAACGGAUCUCUUGGCUCUCGCAUCGAUGAAGAACGCAGCGAAAUGCGAUAAGUAAUGUGAAUUGCAGAAUUCAGUGAAUCAUCGAAUCUUUGAACGCACCUUGCACCCUUUGGUCAUUCCGAAGGGUAUGCUCGUUUGAGUGUCAUUGUACUCUCACACUCCAAAGUCCUUUGGAUUUGGGAAGUGGUGGACUUGGGUGGUGCAGCUUCCUUGUUGCUCACCUCAAAUGUGUUAGUGCAACUCUUGGUUGGACAUAGUACGGCAUGAUAAGUGUCUUUGCCGGCGACCUGCCUUCGCUUCGGAGGGGGAAGGGUGGCCAAUCGAAGGGCUCUGUGCUUUCGAAUCGUCUUCGGACAAGCUCACAAGCUCUCUGACAAUUUGACCUCAAAUCGAGUAGGACUACCCGCUGAACUUAAGCAUAUCAAUAAGCGGAGGAAAAGAAACUAACAAGGAUUCCCCUAGUAACGGCGAGUGAAGAGGGAAGAGCUCAAAUUUUGAAUCUGGCGUCUUUGGCGUCCGAGUUGUAAUCUAGAGAAGUGUUUUCUGUGAUGGACCAUGCAUAAGUCUCCUGGAAUGGAGUGUCAUAGAGGGUGAGAAUCCCGUCCAUGGCAUGGACUCCCAUUACUUUGCGAUACACUCUCGACGAGUCGAGUUGUUUGGGAAUGCAGCUCUAAAUGGGUGGUAAAUGCCAUCUAAAGCUAAAUAUUGGCGAGAGACCGAUAGCGAACAAGUACCGUGAGGGAAAGAUGAAAAGCACUUUGGAAAGAGAGUGAAACAGUACGUGAAAUUGUUGAAAGGGAAACGCUUGAAGUCAGUCAUGCUGUUUGGGAUUCAGCCUUGCAUCUGCUUGGUGUACUUCCUGUUCAGCAGGUCAACAUCAGUUUUGGUCAGAGGAAAAAGGCUUGGGGAAGGUAGCAGCAUUCUUGCUGUGUUAUAGCUCCUUGUUGUAUACUUUGGCUGGGACUGAGGACUGCAGCACGCCUUAAUGGCUGGGGCUCGCCCACAUUCGUGCUUAGGAUGUUGGCAUAAUGGCUUUAAGCGACCCGUCUUGAAACACGGACCAAGGAGUCUAACAUGUGCGCGAGUGUUUGGGUGUUAAACUCAGGCGCGAAAUGAAAGUGAAAAGUUGGGAACAUGUAUGUGUGCACCAACGCCCGGAGCUGACCUUCUGUGACGCAUCUGCGGUAGAGCGCAUAUGUUGGGACCCGAAAGAUGGUGAACUAUGCCUGAAUAGGGUGAAGCCAGAGGAAACUCUGGUGGAGGCUCGUAGCGAUUCUGACGUGCAAAUCGAUCGUCAAAUUUGGGUAUAGGGGCGAAAGACUAAUCGAACCAUCUAGUAGCUGGUUCCUGC